rnacentral:rRNA from 1 species
UCAGCGACUGGAAUGAAGUCGUAACAAGGUAGCCGUAGGUGAACCUGCAGAAGGAUCA